rnacentral:misc_RNA from 1 species
GAAAUGCGAUAAGUAAUGUGAAUUGCAGAAUUCAGUGAAUCAUCGAAUCUUUGAACGCACAUUGCGCCCGCCAGUAUUCUGGCGGGCAUGCCUGUUCGAGCGUCAUUUCACCCAUCAAGCCCCGUGCUUGUGUUGGGGACCUGCGGAUGCCCGCAGGCCCUGAAAACCAGUGGCGGGCUCGCUGUCACACCGAGCGUAGUAGCAUAACCUCGCUCAGGGCGUGCCGCGGGUUCCGGCCGUAAAAGCCUCUUAUAUACCCAAGGUUGACCUCGGAUCAGGUAGGAAGACCCGCUGAACUUAA